GCUACGGUUAGAUAAAUCAAUUUUGCAUAGGCAGUUGACAUGGGGAAAAAAAAUAGAUGUCUUGUUCCACCAUUUUUUGGGGUGUUUGUGUUGGUUUAGGAGACUUUCGUGACUUGCAGGAGAAUAAAAACAUCUAGAUUGAUAGGCCAUUCAAAGGAUACAAUUAAUCAAUCGUAAACUGAUAGAGAACGAAGGGAAAUCAGGGCCUGGUACCAACACCAGAUGAGUUUUUUUGCUUUUUAAUUCUCAAAUGGUAAUAGUUUAGGAGCGGUUGGAUGCAGU